rnacentral:rRNA from 1 species
UACGAAGGGGGCGAGCGUUGUUCGGAAUUACUGGGCGUAAAGGGCGCGCAGGCGGCUCUGAAAGUCAGAUGUGAAAGCCCCGGGCUUAACCUGGGAAUUGCAUUUGAUACUCUGGAGCUUGAGUACGGGAGAGGAGAGUGGAAUUCCCAGUGUAAAGGUGAAAUUCGUAGAUAUUGGGAAGAACACCGGUGGCGAAGGCGGCUCUCUGGACCGUAACUGACGCUGAGGCGCGAAAGCGUGGGGAGCAAACAGG